AUGAUGACUGAACACUUCAUACAGCUAAGCACUCAUCAAGUGAUGAAACAUCAUCAGGGGAAUUCAGCAACAAAAGAAAGAAAACUCUACCAGCAAGUCCUUACUAGGUGACAAAUUUAUUAUACAGAAGACAUACACACCUCAAGUUCAGCUGUAUCAUCACCUGAUACAGAACUUGUUCAAAGCUAAUAGUUUGCUGUUAACAGAUAUGUAGGCUA